GGAUCCAGACUUUGAUCCUGGCUCGGGAUGAACGCUAGCUACAGGCCUAACUCAUGCAAGUCGAGGGGAAACGGCAGCUUAGCUUGCUAAGCUGGACGUCGACCGGCGCACGGGUGAAUAACGCGUAUCCCACCUGCCCCACGGUGAGGGAUAACCCGCGGAAACGCGGCCUAAUACCUCAUGGUCUCCGAGCUUGACAUCAACCUUGGAGUAAAGAUUCAUUGCCGUGGGAUGGGGAUGCGUCUGAUUAGCUUGUUGGCGGGGCAACGGCCCACCAAGGCAACGAUCAGUAGGGGUUCUGAGAGGAAAGCCCCCCACAUUGGAACUGAGACACGGUCCAAACUCCUACGGGAGGCAGCAGUGAGGAAUAUUGGUCAAUGGGCGAGAGCCUGAACCAGCCAAGUAGCGUGCAGGAAGACGGCCCUAUGGGUUGUAAACUGCUUUUAUGCGGGGAUAAAGGGGGCGACGUGUCGCCCUUUGCAGGUACCGCAUGAAUAAGGACCGGCUAAUUCCGUGCCAGCAGCCGCGGUAAUACGGAAGGUCCGGGCGUUAUCCCGAUUUAUUGGGUUUAAAGGGAGCGCAGGCCGGGUAUUAAGCGUGUUGUGAAAUGUAGGCGCCCAACGUCUGCACCGCAGCGCGAACUGGUGCCCUUGAGUACGCACGACGUUGGCGGAAUUCGCCGUGUAGCGGUGAAAUGCUUAGAUAUGGCGAAGAACUCCGAUUGCGAAGGCAGCUGACGGGAGCGCUACUGACGCUCAUGCUCGAAAGCGCGGGUAUCGAACAGGAUUAGAUACCCUGGUAGUCCGCGCGGUAAACGAUGGAUGCCCGCUAUUUGCGCGUUAAGC
rnacentral:rRNA from 1 species